GAACAGGAGAAAUUGCCAAAUUCAAGUGUUGGAUGAGGUCCCACAUGGGCUGGCAGCUUCAGGGCAUGGGAGGUCAUUGCCCAGAGGAGGGGAGGGGGAAGCUUGGUGGGGUGGUACCCAGACAGACUCCCAGGCCUGCUCUCCAGGCCAUCCAGCCCCUCUGGACUGUGCCCUGCUCACUCAAACAAGCUAGAAGUGCUGGGCAAGCUCAGUCCAGCCAUGAGCAGAUGAGAGGAUCAUAGGAGUGGGAAGGAGACUAAAGACCUUCCAACCCAUCUCAAACGUGCUUUCCUGGAGCCAACCUGCCGGCUGAGCAGCAGUGAAUCCUGUCUCCCUUCCUGUUGAUUGACUGUGUAUAUGCUGGCAUCCAGGAUGGAGACAGAAGAAAGUGAGACCCUGAUUGAUGAGGUGGAGGAGAUGAGUGGAAGAGCAACAGGACAGCAGCUGGACUCGUUUUUUCCUGACAACACCGUGACCUGGGAGACUUGUCCACCCGGAGAGAGACAGGAGAGGAUGCAAAGGCUGGAGGGACCCAGAGCAGCCCAGCAGAGGCAGGAGCAGGCCCUGCAGUUUCAGAGCAGCCCUGCGAGGGGAGCUUUAGCCCAGCUCAAAUACCGAAUCCAGUCAGCCACUGACCUAAACCAGGCUUUCUUACAGGAAGCAUUUAGCUGGCAACAUAGGACGUACCAGGAAGUGCAUCUGACACAGAAAAGUCAGUAAAACUAUUACUUCUGGAUGGGUCUACGAGACAUCUUAGGAGAAAUGAAGCUGUGCCACUGUGGCACUGAGGUUUCCAGCUCCUCCCCACCAGUCCUGAGAUAGAGAAGACAGAAGCACUUCCUCUUAAGGUUUCCAAUUUUAGCUUGGCUUCCUACGGAAACAAGCUUCAUGCAAGAACCUGCAUGGAAACUUUCCUCCAUGCCUCCCAUGCAAGGAGUACCUCCAGCUUUGCACCCUGGCACUCUCGUCCCCAGAGCAGGGGCUGCUGCAGCACCAGCUCAUCCUGCCCUGGCUCCCAGAAUAGCAAGAAGCUGUGGUUCCUACAGAUACCAAGUUGUUACAGCACAUCUUUACUGGGAUCUAUGUGUGCUGGCCUGCAGAUUCUUCUUUCUUCUACUCACAGAGAUGACUGCCCCAUUCAGGAUUUUUAAAAUAAAAUUUGGAGAAUAUUAUUGAAAAGGCACAGGCAGAGCAGGGAAGAGACUAUCAGGGUGUGAGCUGCCAGGCCAAUCCUACAGUACGGUACCUGCUUUGGAACAGACAGCUUGGGAAGGGACUCAUCUGGGAACUCCACACACAAAGCUCCUUUCCUACUCAGAAACCACCCUUUAAGGAGCAAUACAGAAGUGGUUGGUGACAGGUAUGCAAGAAAUUAUGAGACCUCAGCAGAGGUAACCUGAGGACAUGGCUGGCCAGAGGCAUGCAGAGAGCACAGGCCCAGAGGGGCAUGCAGGGGGCACAGAGGUGAGUGCAGUUUUAACUGCAGCAGGGAUGUUCAGUGAGACAGAGCAAAAGAGCAAGAAUGGGACUGGAAGCACAGACAACUUUUGUGGAAAUGGGAAAGAUAAGGGGAAGCUGGCAAACCUGGGCACAGAAUAGGGGAGUAGCUGGGCUGGUUAGAGCCACAGGAACAGCAGGUUCUGCAGCACCUGGGACAGGACACUGAGAUGGCCACGAGCAGAGGAGAAGCUGCAGUGACAGGAAUGAGCCUGGCCCAGAAUUCCAGCUGGGAGGACUCAUAACCAUGGUAUUUUAUGGAUGUGACCUGAAUUAUCUGAACACUUCAGUGAUUAAGAGUCAAGGAACUUUCAUUGAUUCCAAAGCCAUUUGGAGCAUGACUUGAUGAGCAGACAGACAAAAGAAAACCUCAAAGAAUCACAGAAUCACUAAGGCUGGAAAAGACCUCCAAGAUCAUCAAGUCCAACCAUCAACCCAGAGCCACCUCCAAACCAUGUCCUCAAGUCAUCCACAUAUUUUUUGAACACUUCAAGGGAUGGUGGCUCCACCAUUGUCCUGGCAGCCAGUUCCAAUGCCUGACAACCCUUUCCAAGAAGAAAUUUUCCCAAUAUCCAACCUAAACCUCUACUGGCACACCUUGAGGCUGUUUACUCUCAUCCUGUCCCUUCUUCCCUGGGAGCAGAGCUCAACCCCCACCUGGCUGCAUCUUCCUGUCAGGGAGAGAUAACAGAAGGUCUCCCCUGAGCCACCUUUUCUCCAGGCUGAGCCCCCCCAGAUGCUCCUGCUGCUCCAGACCCUUCCCGAACUCUGUCGCCCUUCUCUGGACACACUCCAGUGCCUCAGUGUCUUUCCUGGACUAGGUGGCCACCCCAAUAUUUUGAGGUGGGGCCUCACCAGUACCCAGCACAGGAAGAUGGUCACAGCCCUGGUCCUGCUGGCCACACUGUGGCUGGUACAGGCCAGGUGCCAUUGGCCUUCUUGGCCAUCUGGCUCACAUUCAGCCACUGCUGACCAGCGCCACCAGGUCCUUCUCCACUGGGCACCUUUCAGAGCAGGCAGAACUGUCACUUGGACAGGAGCUGGGAGAAGGGAGGCAGACCUGCAGGUCCCUCCUUGUAUGGCUCUGCAGAAGAAUCAGUGUGAUGAACUGUGUGGGAACAAUAAACACCACACAUGCAGUCUGAGCAGUCCUGGGAGUAAGUGAGGGUGGACAGCAAUUCAUUGGCACAGGAAAGCUGCUCCCAGACACAGUGCUCAAACCCAGCCUUGUGCCAGGCUCUCCCCAGUCCAACCAGGACAGGGCUGCCUGGUGACACAGCACUCAGGUGAGAGCCAAAUCACCCUGUCUGGACCAAGUUCCCUCUAGCAGCAAGCCCAGAGCACCCCAUUCUCUGCAACAGGACAUGGUGGAGCACUUCUGACCCUUGUACAAUACGAAGCUCAGGCAGAUACGUAUUUUACUACAUCUUAAUUCUAUUUAUAUUCCUGUGACUUUUGGAACUCCUUCCUCCUCCCCAAGAUGGGAGAGAAACAUAUAAAGGCAGGAAGCAAAUUAAUUUCCUUUUGAAGUGGUUGAUUUACUUUGCCAAUAUGCACUGACACAGUAACAAAAUGGAAAACAAUAAGCCACUCUAAGGAUGCAGCAUUUUGGGCACAGCAACACAUUGGUGCAUACAGGACUUUUAAAUAAACUUUAUGAACAAUCCAUAAAGUGGUCAGGCAGAUUAAACAAUUUUUGUAGGAAAACUAUCAAGUAAGCAUAGGCAAGCAACAAAAGCACAACUUGGUCUUCUAGCAGCUUCCACACUGCAAUCGUGUCUCAGACUUAAAGAGGCAGAGGUGGCUACUUGCUGCCAGCUGAGUCCUAGAUCCUGCCUGAAACAACUUCUCUCUGCUUG